rnacentral:tRNA from 1 species
GCCGAAGUGGUGGAAUUGGUAGACACGCUAGGUUCAGGGUCUAGUGGGGGCAACCUCGUGGGAGUUCAAAUCUCCCCUUCGGCACCA